AUACGUAGGUUGCGAGCGUUGUCCGGAUUUACUGGGUGUAAAGGGUGCGUAGGCGGGAACGCAAGUCAGAUGUGAAAGACCACGGCUCAACCGUGGUACUGCAUUUGAAACUGUGUUUCUUGAGUGCAGGAGAGGUAAGCGGAAUUCCCAGUGUAGCGGUGAAAUGCGUAGAUAUUGGGAGGAACACCAGUGGCGAAGGCGGCUGACUGGGCCGUAACUGACGCUGAGGCGCGAAAGCGUGGGGAGCGAACAGGAUUAGAUACCCUGGUAGUCCACGCGGUAAACGAUGAAUGCUAGGUGUUGCGGGUAUCGACCCCUGCAGUGCCGGAGUAAACACAAUAAGCAUUCCGCCUGGGGAGUACGGCCGCAAGGUUGAAACUCAAAGGAAUUGACGGGG
rnacentral:rRNA from 1 species